ACCGGCGCACGGGUGCGUAACGCGUAUGCAACCUACCCUAUACAGGAGGAUAGCCCGAGGAAACUCGGAUUAAUACUCCAUAGUAUUAUUGAUUCGCAUGGAUUAAUAAUUAAAGUUCCGGCGGUAUAGGAUGGGCAUGCGUGACAUUAGCUAGUUGGAGAGGUAACGGCUCACCAAGGCUACGAUGUCUAGGGGUCCUGAGAGGGUUCACCCCCACACUGGUACUGAGACACGGACCAGACUCCUACGGGAGGCAGCAGUGAGGAAUAUUGGUCAAUGGAGGCAACUCUGAACCAGCCAUGCCGCGUGCAGGAAGACGGCCCUAUGGGUUGUAAACUGCUUUUAUACAGGGCGAAUUCUGUUACGUGUAACAGGUUGACGGUACUGUAUGAAUAAGCACCGGCUAACUCCGUGCCAGCAGCCGCGGUAAUACGGAGGGUGCAAGCGUUAUCCGGAUUCAUUGGGUUUAAAGGGUGCGUAGGCGGCUUUAUAAGUCAGUGGUGAAAUUAACAGGCUCAACCUGUUGACUGCCAUUGAUACUGUAUGGCUUGAGUAUAAUCGACGCGGGAGGAAUGCGACAAGUAGCGGUGAAAUGCUUAGAUAUGUCGCAGAACACCGAUAGCGAAGGCAUCUCGCGAGGUUAUUACUGACGCUGAGGCACGAAAGCGUGGGGAUCAAACAGGAUUAGAUACCCUGGUAGUCCACGCCGUAAACGAUGAUAACUGGGUUU
rnacentral:rRNA from 1 species